AGUAGUUAUUGGAGGCACCUUUGACAAUACCCUGGCCACCAUUUGUGCCUCAAGGCAUCAGCAGAUUUGGCUAGAAAGCGAAUGAUCUUCGGACCCUGUAAGCAGGUUCUUCCUCUUUCUCAGUCCAAUUUAUCAUAAAUAGAAGAUGGGAGUUGCACCAAGAAGAAUCUGAUACAAUUUCACACCAAAAACUGCUGGCAAAUACAAAUGGCUUAAAAUAAGUAUGCUCACCUCAUACAGCCCAUAGAGAAGAGAGCGUAAAGCAUACAAGACUACCUUAAGGUGCUCUGCAUUGUCCAUAAAGCCAGAAGCUAGUUGCGAUCGAUCACUGAACCAAUUAUUGAUCCUUACGCCUCUUCAAUUGUGGAUUAAAAUCCAUAGGCAAUUGUUGUCAGCAAGGAGACCCUCCCUGGAGGCCUGGCCAUCAAUAGGACAAGAGCUGAGAGAGGUUUAUCCCAACUAAAGGUUAAGCUUAGAUGCAAACUUUUUGCUAUUUGAUUAAGGAUUAGUUCUACAUACAUCUCUUGCGCUACAAGCGGCUAGUCUCCUAUUGUUAGUAAGCCUUUGUUACUAGAAAUUUGACCCAUCUCCCGUUAUUUUGUACUCACAUUGCUGUCGCUUGACAUCGACAUCAAUGUGUCGCAGAGAGACUUCUAUUCUCUUACUGGUGGUGAACAUACAUCUCUAUAUUACAUCUUAUGUAUUACGGAAAAAUAAUUCUCUACAGACAUCAGAAGUUCUUACUUCUAAUUAAAAAUUUAGUGAUAACAAGUCACUACCUCCCUACAAUUCAUGGUAAUACAAAGCGUACUGCAGUUAAGCUCUUUGAUGAGUUUCUCCAAGGUUUCAUAUUAAUCUCUUUUGUUACCGAAAUCAUGCAGAUUGAAGUCGUGGAUUUAGUACCAAACAAGUAAGGGGAUACAGUAUGUUCUACAACCUAUAGAAAAAUGAAAGCUGAGGAAAGACUGAAGAAUCAGGUACAUUCAUUCAGUUAUAUCAAGCUCUGCAAAUCUAUUUCGGUUCAUCUUCUCAUGAAAUUUUCAGGUUAGAAUUUAUCGAU